rnacentral:rRNA from 1 species
UGAGAAACCCGAAAGGUCGAAGGGAGAAAUUCAUUCGCGUUUCGACGUAGGCGCGGGACGGGGUCCUCGAGCGACGGAGACGUUCCCCGUUCUACGGAAUGGGGCGUUUACGCGCCCUCCGUCCCCCGAACCGACGGCGAACGCGUGCACUUUUCUCCUGGUAGGACGUCGCGAUCCGUCGGGCGUCGGUCUACGACUGGCGGUGGAGACCGUUCGUCGCGUGUUUCGCACGUGCGGACGGACCCGCUCGUUUUUUUUGGCCGACCGACUCGCUCGACGGUAUACCCUAUGGUCGGAGGCCGCUCGGCAUCGUUAGCGAACGAGCGUCCGACUCGUCGCAAGCGCGCCACGUGCGUCGGCACGCGGACCCGGUGCCGCGUCCGAUCUCUGGCGACUGUUGGCGACGAUGCUCUCGGACAGACCUCUUUAGUCUUUUUCUUUUUGGGGAGAAGGCGCGAAGACCGAUCGGCGACGCUAUAGCUUUGGGUACUUUCAGGACCCGUCUUGAAACACGGACCAAGGAGUCUAGCAUGUACGCGAGUCAUUGGGAAUUUAACUAAACCUAAAGGCGCAAUGAAAGUGAAGGUUCUCCUAGCCGGAGGACCGAGGGAAGACGGGCGGUAGAUUUAUCGCGUCGAAAGAGCGACGCCGUCCCGCACUCCCGGGGCGUCUCGCGUUCACGUCGCGUGACGAGGCGCACCGAGAGCGUACACGCUGGGACCCGAAAGAUGGUGAACUAUGCCUGGUCAGGACGAAGUCAGGGGAAACCCUGAUGGAGGUCC